UCGGAUAUGGUGUAACGGCUAACAUUGCCGCCUUUCAUAUCACGGCUGAAAUAGACAAUAUGUCGCGCGGCAGCUCGGGGUUCGAUUCCCCGUAUCCGAA